GACGAACGCUGGCGGCGUACUUAACACAUGCAAGUCGAACGGAAAGGCCCUGCUUUUGUGGGGUGCUCGAGUGGCGAACGGGUGAGUAACACGUGAGUAACCUGCCCUUGACUUUGGGAUAACUUCAGGAAACUGGGGCUAAUACCGGAUAGGAGCUCCUGCUGCAUGGUGGGGGUUGGAAAGUUUCGGCGGUUGGGGAUGGACUCGCGGCUUAUCAGCUUGUUGGUGGGGUAGUGGCUUACCAAGGCUUUGACGGGUAGCCGGCCUGGGAGGGUGACCGGCCACAUUGGGACUGAGAUACGGCCCAGAAUCCUACGGGAGGCAGCAGGGGGGAAUAUUGCACAAUGGGCGGAAGCCUGAUGCAGCAACGCCGCGUGCGGGAUGACGGCCUUCGGGUUUUAAACCGCUUUCGCCUGUGACGAAGCGUGAGUGACGGUAAUGGGUAAAGAAGCACCGGCUAACUACGUG
rnacentral:rRNA from 1 species